GUUUGUACCACCACCGUCUUCUUCACUGUGCGCUCUGCACAGGCAAUGCGGUGUGCGACGCGCAUCAGCCGCUCCCUGCUCAACGGCGCUGAUCGAGGCGCGGGAAGCCCAUGGCGUGGCACGUCCAUUGUCCGUGCCGUCGGCGCCAUCCACGGCCUUCAAGUGGGGACCUUGGACAUCACCGGCGUCUCGGCGGGGCUACAAUGCACCCUGAGCACGUCGAGCUUCUUUUCUGUCGACGACGGCGGCGGCCCUGCAGCGCCGCUGUUGCCAUCAGAACCGGCAGAGCUGCACGCACCGGGUGUCGUGGAACAACCGGGAAUGCCAAGGAAGGGUUGUGUGUACACCGUGCACGUGGUGGGCCCCGCCGCGUUCGUCGCCGCCGUCGCUGAGGUGCUUGGCGACGACGUCCUCGUCGACCUUGCUGGGAGGUAUCAUGUGGAGCCGUACGCCUACUGGCGAUCCGGCAAGCAUCAGUGCCCCACCGUGCGUCUUUCAUACGAUCGACUGCGCCGUACUGAGGACUCGCUCCGUAUCCUGCGCGCUCCCGACAACACGGUGGCGAGGCAGCGACGUCUCUAUCAUGCCAUCUUUGCCGCUUCGCAGCCGGGACGUUGGCCGUCCCGUCAUGCGGGAGGGAGAGGCACGUGCCCGUGAGCCGAGAGACACCGAGAGGCGAAGACAGCCCUGCAGGCGCCUCUUUCUGGAUAGUUUUUCAGCACGCGCCUGCCUUGUGUUGGUGUGCACCCACCACACGCGGCCCUGUGAGAGCCUAUACAGGCUCUCCGCAUGCCGAACGCGUGCAUGUGCACGCGGAUACUUGCGUCACACGAAAGGAAGGAGCGCGGCGCAGAGCACGCGCGCAUCAUCAUCAGCCGGCAAAGUUGUUUUUCAAUGAAGCGGCCUCUGCUGAGCGGCGGCUGUCGCCCCUUGCCACUGCACCAUCGCUUCCCCACUUCCUGCGCUACGUUGCGCAUAGCUGCUACUUUCGGUGGCGUUGCGCCGCACCGUGACAGCUGUGGCGACACCGUACAGUGGCUGAGACGCGUGCCUCCAAUGGCUCUCCCUCUCACCUCUCUGUGUGGAGGCGCUGGUGAGCGCAGUGGCGGUGCAUACAUCGUCAUGCUGUGUCUGCACAUGUACACGUAUGCAUAUAUAUAUAUAUAUAUAUAUCUGUGUGUGUGUGCGAGUGCUCUGCUCGAGCUUCCCCCCUCUGUCUCUACGGUUUUGCCUCUUCCCUUCACUUCGUUUCCGCCGCUCCGCGGCUCGCUCGUGCGCGCUCGUGCACGGGUGCGGGCUUUGCUGAUGCGCGUUGGCUACCCCCCCCCCCCCCCCCCCCCCACACACACACACACACACAUGCGCCAACCGGACAG
rnacentral:misc_RNA from 1 species